rnacentral:rRNA from 1 species
ACCUGCCUGUAAGACUGGGAUAACUCCGGGAAACCGGGGCUAAUACCGGAUGGUUGUUUGAACCGCAUGGUUCAAACAUAAAAGGUGGCUUCGGCUACCACUUACAGAUGGACCCGCGGCGCAUUAGCUAGUUGGUGAGGUAACGGCUCACCAAGGCAACGAUGCGUAGCCGACCUGAGAGGGUGAUCGGCCACACUGGGACUGAGACACGGCCCAGACUCCUACGGGAGGCAGCAGUAGGGAAUCUUCCGCAAUGGACGAAAGUCUGACGGAGCAACGCCGCGUGAGUGAUGAAGGUUUUCGGAUCGUAAAGCUCUGUUGUUAGGGAAGAACAAGUACCGUUCGAAUAGGGCGGUACCUUGACGGUACCUAACCAGAAAGCCACGGCUAACUACGUGCCAGCAGCCGCGGUAAUACGUAGGUGGCAAGCGUUGUCCGGAAUUAUUGGGCGUAAAGGGCUCGCAGGCGGUUUCUUAAGUCUGAUGUGAAAGCCCCCGGCUCAACCGGGGAGGGUCAUUGGAAACUGGGGAACUUG